rnacentral:rRNA from 1 species
CUGCGAAUGGCUCAUUAAAUCAGUUAUCGUUUAUUUGAUAAUACCUUACUACUUGGAUAACCGUGGUAAUUCUAGAGCUAAUACAUGCUAAAAACCCCGACUUCGGGAGGGGUGUAUUUAUUAGAUAAAAAACCAAUGCCCUCCGGGGCUCCUUGGUGAUUCAUAAUAACUUCUCAGAUCGCAUGGCUCCAUGCCGGCGACGGUUCAUUCAAAUUUCUGCCCUAUCAACUUUCGAUGGUAAGGUAGUGGCUUACCAUGGUUUCAACGGGUAACGGGGAAUUAGGGUUCGAUUCCGGAGAGGGAGCCUGAGAAACGGCUACCACAUCCAAGGAAGCAGCAGGCGCGCAAAUUACCCAAUUCCGACACGGAGAGGUAGUGACAAUAAAUACUGAUACAGGGCUCUUUUGGGUCUUGUAAUUGGAAUGAGUACAAUUUAAACCUCUUAACGAGGAACAAUUGGAGGGCAAGUCUGGUGCCAGCAGCCGCGGUAAUUCCAGCUCCAAUAGCGUAUAUUAAAGUUGUUGCAGUUAAAAAGCUCGUAGUUGAACCUUUGGCCUGGCUGGCAGGUCCGCCUCACCGCGUGCACUUGUCCGGCCGGGCCUUCUCUUCUGGAGAACCGCAUGCCCUUCACUGGGUGUGUUGGGRACCAGGACUUUUACUUUGAAAAAAUUAGAGUGUUCAAAGCAGGCCUUUGCUCGAAUACGUUAGCAUGGAAUAAUAGAAUAGGACGUGCGGUCCUAUUUUGUUGGUUUCUAGGACCGCCGUAAUGAUUAAUAGGGACAGUCGGGGGCAUCAGUAUUCAAUUGUCAGAGGUGAAAUUCUUGGAUUUAUUGAAGACUAACUACUGCGAAAGCAUUUGCCAAGGAUGUUUUCAUUAAUCAGUGAACGAAAGUUAGGGGAUCGAAGACGAUCAGAUACCGUCGUAGUCUUAACCAUAAACUAUGCCGACUAGGGAUCGGGCGGUGUUUCUAUUGUGACCCGCUCGGCACCCUUACGAGAAAUC